AUUGAACACUGGCGGCAGGCCUAACACAUGCAAGUCGAGCGGAGCGGCGGACGGGUGAGUAAUGCCUAGGAAUCUGCCUGGUAGUGGGGGAUAACGUCCGGUAACGGGCGCUAAUACCGCAUACUAUCAGAAGAGCCUAGGUCGGAUUCGCUAGUUGGUGGGGUAAAGGCCCACCAAGGCGACGAUCCGGAACUGGUCUGAGAGGAUGAGCAGUCACACUGGAACUGAGACACGGUCCAGACUCCUACGGGAGGCAGCAGUGGGGAAUAUUGGACAAUGGGCGAAAGCCUGAUCCAGCCAUGCCGCGUGUAUGAAGAAGGUCUUCGGAUUGUAAAGCACUUUUGGUUGAGAAGCGUUACCAACAGAAUAAGCACCGGCUAACUUCGUGCCAGCAGCCGCGGUAAUAC
rnacentral:rRNA from 1 species